rnacentral:rRNA from 1 species
GACGAACGCUGGCGGCGUGCCUAAUACAUGCAAGUCGAGCGAACUGUCCGGGAUGUUUGCCCUCUGGCGUUUUCGCGGCGCAGGUGUGUGUAACAUGUAUGCCACCUGUCUAUGAGACGGGGAUCUCCUUGGGAAAGGAGUUCUAAUACGGGAUAAUCUGGCAUCUCGCGGGUGGGUAGUGGGAGAGGGGGUGCCAUUUGCUUCUAGAUGGUGGCCCUGCGGCGCAUUAGCUAGUUGGUGGGGUAACGGCCUACCAAGGCGACGAUGCGUAGCCGACCUGAGAGGGUGAUCGGCCACACUGGAACUGAGACACGGUCCAGACUCCUACGGGAGGCAGCAGUAGGGAAUCUUCCGCAAAGGGCGAAAGUCUGACGGAGCAACGCCGCGUGAGUGAGGAAGGUCUUCGGGUCGUAAAGCUCUGUUGCCAGGGAAGAACGAGUGUGGAAGUAACUGCGCAUGCCAUGACGGUACCUGAUAAGAAAGCCCCGGCUAACUACGUG